AGAGUUUGAUUCUGGCUCAGAACGAACGCUGGCGGCGUGGAUAAGACAUGCAAGUCGAACGGGAGAAUUGCUAGCUUGCUAAUAAUUCUCUAGUGGCGCACGGGUGAGUAACACGUGAGUAACCUGCCUCUUAGUGGGGGAUAGCCCUGGGAAACCGGGAUUAAUACCGCAUACGAUUGAAAGAUCAAAGCAGCAAUGCGCUAGGAGAUGGGCUCGCGGCCUAUUAGUUAGUUGGUGAGGUAACGGCUCACCAAGGCGAUGACGGGUAGCCGGUCUGAGAGGAUGUCCGGCCACACUGGAACUGAGACACGGUCCAGACACCUACGGGUGGCAGCAGUCGAGAAUCAUUCACAAUGGGGGCAACCCUGAUGGUGCGACGCCGCGUGGGGGAAUGAAGGUCUUCGGAUUGUAAACCCCUGUCAUGUGGGAGCAAAUUAAAAAGAUAGUACCACAAGAGGAAGAGACGGCUAACUCUGUGCCAGCAGCCGCGGUAAUACAGAGGUCUCAAGCGUUGUUCGGAAUCACUGGGCGUAAAGCGUGCGUAGGCUGUUUCGUAAGUCGUGUGUGAAAGGCAGGGGCUCAACCCCUGGAUUGCACAUGAUACUGCGAGACUAGAGUAAUGGAGGGGGAACCGGAAUUCUCGGUGUAGCAGUGAAAUGCGUAGAUAUCGAGAGGAACACUCGUGGCGAAGGCGGGUUCCUGGACAUUAACUGACGCUGAGGCACGAAGGCCAGGGGAGCGAAAGGGAUUAGAUACCCCUGUAGUCCUGGCAGUAAACGGUGCACGCUUGGUGUGCGGGGAAUCGACCCCCUGCGUGCCGGAGCUAACGCGUUAAGCGUGCCGCCUGGGGAGUACGGUCGCAAGAUUAAAACUCAAAGAAAUUGACGGGGACCCGCACAAGCGGUGGAGUAUGUGGCUUAAUUCGAUGCAACGCGAAGAACCUUACCUGGGCUUGACAUGUAAUGAACAACAUGUGAAAGCAUGCGACUCUUCGGAGGCGUUACACAGGUGCUGCAUGGCCGUCGUCAGCUCGUGUCGUGAGAUGUUUGGUUAAGUCCAGCAACGAGCGCAACCCCUGUUGCCAGUUACCAUCGAGUAAUGUCGGGGACUCUGGCGAGACUGCCCAGAUCAACUGGGAGGAAGGUGGGGACGACGUCAGGUCAGUAUGGCCCUUAUGCCCAGGGCUGCACACGUACUACAAUGCCCAGUACAGAGGGGGCCGAAGCCGCGAGGCGGAGGAAAUCCUGAAAACUGGGCCCAGUUCGGACUGUAGGCUGCAACCCGCCUACACGAAGCCGGAAUCGCUAGUAAUGGCGCAUCAGCUACGGCGCCGUGAAUACGUUCCCGGGUCUUGUACACACCUGUCUCUUAUACACAUCUGACGCUG
rnacentral:rRNA from 1 species